GACGAACGCUGGCGGCGUGCUUAACACAUGCAAGUCGAACGGAAAGGCCCUGCUUUUGUGGGGUGCUCGAGUGGCGAACGGGUGAGUAACACGUGAGUAACCUGCCCCUGACUUUGGGAUAACUUCAGGAAACUGGGGCUAAUACCGGAUAGGAGCUCCUGCUGCAUGGUGGGGGUGGGAAAGUUUCGGCGGUUGGGGAUGGACUCGCGGCUUAUCAGCUUGUUGGUGGGGUAGUGGCUUACCAAGGCUUUGACGGGUAGCCGGCCUGAGAGGGUGACCGGCCACAUUGGGACUGAGAUACGGCCCAGACUCCUACGGGAGGCAGCAGUGGGGAAUAUUGCACAAUGGGCGGAAGCCUGAUGCAGCAACGCCGCGUGCGGGAUGACGGCCUUCGGGUUGUAAACCGCUUUCGCCUGUGACGAAGCGUGAGUGACGGUAAUGGGUAAAGAAGCACCGGCUAACUACGUG
rnacentral:rRNA from 1 species